CAGGGGCGGAUCCACCUUGGGACAAGAGGGGUCGGACGACCCCUUGGAAGGCUGGAAAAUUGGCAAGGGAGUCCAUGGCAGCCCCCUUGGACAGCUGCUUGGAAGCCCCCUUGGAUGCACACAAUGUGCUCGACGAAAUGCCCCAACGAAAUGGCCUGCUGCGCUACGCAGCUGCGCGUAAUUUUUUUUUAAAACCAGCCUUGCCAAACGACGUCGUUUGGUCAAGGCGCAGUCAAAUUUUUUUUAAUUGACCUGGCCUCAAAACGAUGUCGUUUUGGGCCAGGUUUUAAAAAAAAAAAAAAAAAAACAGAACAGCAUACGAAAGAAGAGCAGCUGCACAGAUUCAUUUUCUCCCCCAAUUCCACAGCCCCUCUUCCUCCCAUCCUCUCAAACCCUAACCUCCCAACCUCCCAACCUUGGACAACCUCCAUCAACUCUUCGCCAGUGGCCCAGUGCCGAUCACCACCACCUUCUACCGCCAUCCGCCGCCCAUUUUUUAAACUACAA
rnacentral:lncRNA from 1 species